rnacentral:rRNA from 1 species
GACGAACCGUGCGAACGUUAUUCGGAAUCACUGGGCUUAAAGCGCGUGUAGGCGGAAGGGCACGUCUGGUGCUGAAAUCCCCCGGCUCAACCGGGGAACGGGCACGGAUACGACUCUUCUGGAGGAACGUAGGGGGACCUGGAACUUCCGGUGGAGCGGUGAAAUGCGUUGAGAUCGGAAGGAACGCCCGUGGCGAAAGCGGCUUCCUGGACCAGCACCGACGUUCAGGCACGAAAGCGUGGGGAGCAAACAGG